rnacentral:lncRNA from 1 species
GACAUGGCAUUUCAUUUGCUCCUGCAACAGCCUUUGAAAGGGGGUCCUGCUGUCCACGCUACUUUGCUGGGGAGGAGCUGGGACUCCAGCAGUAAGGUGACCGGCCCGAGGUCCUGCAGCUGCAAAUGCCACACCCAGGACUGGAGCCCAGGUCAGUCCUAAAGCCUUGCCACCCGCCGCCAGGGCCCUGCUGUUCUGGAGUCUCCACAGCCAAGCUUUUAGAAAAGAAAGAAGCCGCCUGUUCCAUAACACUUCAGAUCUAGAACUCAUGAACAUUUCUGCAGCAAAACCUGCACCAGCAAACUCUACAGAGUGAUGGUAAAGUCCAUCGGCAGCCUUGGGUCAGUUCAAGUAGAUUUUUGUCCCCAGAUGAGCUGGUCUUUGGAGACGUUUGCCUUUCAGAGAGGCAGGUGGGUCUCAGUCCAC